GGGUCAGCAUGGUUAGUGGUUUGGGUGUUGGACUAAGACUCUGGAAACCAGGGUUCAAAUCCCUGCUUAGCUG